GUGAUUAUAUGUAUUUAUCAUUAUAUUCAACGCAUGCCAUUGUACACAUACGAUGGCCAAUAUGUAUGCAAUCAAACUGAUAUUCAUGUGCAUUAGUGCACGUUGUUUCAGGACGGUACAUUUAAUAAAACAAGAACUAGAAAUCGUAAACGCUAGCUGGGAACAUGUGAAUAUAUUGUCGGAGCGCAUGAGCGUAAAACUCCUUAUUGUAAACAAUACAAAUCAUAUGUUAUAAACUGUAACCUUGAUGCAGAGUCGUUUAUCACGUUGCGAGAAUUGUUACGGAAUUGUAGAGGAUUAACAAAGCGGUCUUCGUCAAAGUGGACAUUGAAGCGAAAGCGACACGACUCAAGAAACCGAAAAACAAACAAUCUUGAAUUAUUUGGGAAAUCCAAUAACUCAUCGUUAUGCGAACAAGUUGCUAUCAGAUCUUCGGCUACAUCUUGCUGGCGAUCACGAACCUGGCAUUGAUCCUCGCGUUUGCAACGCCCUUCUGGGUCCAGUAUGGGUCUGACAGGGCUUUGGGGCUGUGAGACAAUUGCAGUGGGACUGACUGCGAGUGGAGAGAUGCAGGGACCAUUUGCAGACAGGCUGAACACACACUGUCCAUGGUAUCCCGCAGAAUGGAAGAAAAUACGUUUGCAGAAAAUGCACCAGUAUGGUUCAAGGCUACCCAAGGGCUCAUGCUGGCGGCACUGGCGCUUGGGAUCCUGGCGUUGAUCGUGCAAAUCUCUCCAUUUGCUGUACGUGCAAUCGACCAACUUAUUGGUUGCUCGUCAUAGCAGGUCUCUGUAUCGCCGUGGCGUUGGUCGUGUUUGGAAUUAAGGCGAACCAGGAAUGGAAGAUAUACUGCCAGAUGGAUAAUAGCUCCAGUGGACGCUUUGGCUGGUCCUUCUGGACCACCAUUGGGGCUGUAGGGGGUGCGCUUCU